AAAUUUUUUAAAACAAUAAUUCAUUACUACUAUUAAAUAACUACUAAUACUAUUUAAACAACCACUUUUACUAAUUCUACGACCACUUUUCAUUUUCUUUCUUGCUUAAUUCUCUUUCCAUUUAUUUUUCUCAUGAUGACGCAUAGCUAGGGGUUGCAUUUGGUCCAUUUCUCUUUUCGCCUCGACUCAUAUUAUAUUAGAAAAGUGGUUGUCUGUUGAGUAAAAUUGAAAAAGUGGCUGUGUGCUUGCGAAUUGUAAAAUAAAGUGGUUGUUUGCACAGGAAAUGGAAAGGAACAAUGUAUAGGAAAAUAAAUAAUUCUCGACUUAGCAGAUUUCAAGUCCUUCCGGGCUCCUUGGUGCCCUUUUAUGUAAAUUCUUAUCAUCCAAUCAACAUGUUUAUGGUACAAUCUGAAGUUUAUGGUACAAUCUGUUUAUGGUACAAUCUGAACUACAGCGAAAGCAUUUGCCAAGAAUGUCUUCAUUAAUCAAGAACGAAAGUCAGAGGUUCGAAGGCGAUCAGAUACCGCCCUAGUUCUGACCGUAAACGAUGCCAACUAGCGAUCCGCCGAUGGAAAUUAUAUUGCCUUGGUGGGGAGCUUCCCGGAAACGAAAGUCUUCCGGUUCCGGGGGAAGUAUGGUUGCAAAGCUGAAACUUAAAGGAAUUGACGGAAGGGCACCACCAGGAGUGGAGCCUGCGGCUUAAUUUGACUCAACACGGGGAAACUCACCCGGCCCGGACACUGUGAGGAUUGACAGAUUGAUAGCUUUUUCAUGAUUCAGUGGAUGGUGGUGCAUGGCCGUUCUUAGUUCGUGGAGUGAUUUGUCUGGUUUAUUCCGAUAACGAGCGAGACUCUAACCUACUAAAUAGCUGGUACAUAAUUUAAGUGUAUACAGCUUCUUAGAGGGAUUUGCGGUGUUCAGCCGAAAGAAAUUGAGCAAUAACAGGUCUGUGAUGCCCUUAGAUGUCCGGGGCUGCACGCGCGCUACACUGGCAAAAUCAACGUGCUUGUCCUACCCCGAAAGGGGCGGGUAAACCAUUGAAAAUUUGCCGUGAUUGGGAUCGGAAAUUGCAAUUAUUUUCCGUGAACGAGGAAUUCCAAGUAAGUGCGAGUCAUCAGCUCGCGUUGAUUACGUCCCUGCCCUUUGUACACACCGCCCGUCGCUGCCCGGGACUGAGCCAUUUCGAGAAAUUUGGGGACCGUUGAUUUAAUUUUUCUAAAUUACUUUGAUGGAAACCAAUUUAAUCGCAGUGGCUUGAACCGGGCAAAAGUCGUAACAAGGUAGCUGUAGGUGAACCUGCUGCUG
rnacentral:rRNA from 1 species